GAUACAAAUAUGAUUAAGGCUUAAGCAACUCAGAUGAAUGAAACACUAGAGAUCAUUUGUGGAGAAAUUUACUUCCAUUUCAAUUACAUUUCCGACUCGUUAAAAUAGAUGAACGAAGCAGCCGGUGUGCGCCCAGCCGGUAACAGAAUUUGAUAAUACUCUUUAUCAAAUCAAGAUACACUCCUUAAGUAUAGACAAGUCUGCUGGCAGCGCCCACUGCGGGCAUAAAGAAUGAAUGAUUCAGAACGAUGCAUGUUUAUAGAUGAAGACUCCAGUUGUGGAAACAGCAUCAAAUGCUCCAGGUGUUUGAAGACAUCACACCUCGUCCCUGCCACAAAGUGAGGCUCAAGCCACCACCUGAACUUCCACACCAAGGACUUCAGCUGAAAGACUCUGUAACAAUCUGGAGAAUGGCUGUCAUUCUGUGGGCUUUGUAAUUCUCUUUUUACAUGUAAGGCUUUCUUCUGGCUAGUACAAUCUAUGCUGCACUGAAAAAGGUCAAAACAAUCUGAAAAACACCGUGGGCAAGUAAGGCCCUCAGAAGAGGACGAACUACAACCGGUAAACCAAGUCUUGGUGCGUACACGGAGGUCAGAGGACAGACAAGCUCCAGAAGUUAGUUCCCUUCCCACCAUGUGGUUCCAGGGCCUGGACUCAGGUCACCUGGCGAGGUGGCGAGCACCAGCUUGAUGGCCUGAAACGCUACUUUUUAACAAGACCGAAUAAAAGUGUGGUUUGGGGAAACAAUUUUCAUCUUCGUUGCGUGAGAGAUUAAGAGCACAAUAAAUUAAAAGCCGUAUGCUAAAC